CCUACGGGGGGCAGCAGUGGGGGAUAUUGCACAAUGGAGGAAACUCUGAUGCAGCAACGCCGCGUGAGGGAAGAAGGUCUUCGGAUUGUAAACCUCUGUCCUCAGGGACGAUAAUGACGGUACCUGAGGAGGAAGCUCCGGCUAACUACGUGCCAGCAGCCGCGGUAAUACGUAGGGAGCAAGCGUUGUCCGGAUUUACUGGGUGUAAAGGGUGCGUAGGCGGCCCUGCAAGUCAGGUGUGAAAACUAUGGGCUUAACUCAUAGAUUGCACUUGAAACUGUGGGGCUUGAGUGAAGUAGAGGCAGGAAGAAAUGCGGGUGUGGCGGGGAAAUGCGUAGGGAUCGGGAAGGAGACCAGUGGAGAAGGCGGGCUGCUGGUCUUUUACUGACGCUGAGUCACGAAAGCGUGGGUAGCAAACAGGAUUAGAUACCCUUGUAGUC
rnacentral:rRNA from 1 species